rnacentral:lncRNA from 1 species
CUCUCUCUGUGUGUGUAUGUGUGUCUGUGUGUGCGCACACGCAUAUGUGAGAGACCGUGUAUGUAGGCUAGAGGGCAUGUCUGUCUACUUUCUUUAAAACAAGUACACCUCUGGCCUUGAGUUCAACAAUUAUAUUCGUUUGGCUGUCCAGCAGGCUCCUGGGUCCACAUCUUCAGGGUUGGAAUGAUCGUGUGUAACCCUGCAUCCUGCAUCCUGCAUUUUUAUGAGACCUGGGGAUCUAACUCAGGCCCCUGAACUUUCAAAGCAAGCAGUUUUCUGAUGGAGUUAUUGCCCCAACCCCUCUUCUGGCUAUCUUAAGGAACACGAUGCUUCAGGCGGGUACCAGGUGCCUAACGUGGCAGCUUCAAGAUUGAUGAGGGAUCUUUUACAGCCUUCUCAACACCGAGGGCAAAAUAUUAAACAGGAGGUAAAGACACUGGUGAGACAGACUCAGUCUGAGAAGUCCGAAGCUCAAAUGACUUAAAGAGCUCACUUACAAAUGCACAUGUAUUAUUCAUUCAUUACAUCAUCAAUAUAUGAAUAUUAAUUUAAAAUGAAAAGUGGACCCCAAAGCUGGAUAUGGUGGCACAGGCCUUUAAUCCCAGCACUUGGGAGGCAGAGGCAGGUGGAUUUCUGA